AGCAGUGCUAGGCCGGGGGGCUCAUCCUCCCCUGUGAGCGCAAACGGAUGUGGGCGCGGCCGAAGCCCGCGGGGCGGGUUCACGCUCGUGAGACCAGGUGUCUCUGUGCGACCGUCGAUCCUGCGUCCUCGUUGACGUGAUUCAUACUGAACCAGGUCAGGCCGGGAACGGAGCAGCCUUAAGGGUGCAUUGCGUGUAUCGGGGGUUGCGCAGGGGAGGAACCACAGAGUAACACCCCUCAUGACGAGGGCUCCACCCGCGGGCACGCACCUUU
rnacentral:SRP_RNA from 1 species